rnacentral:Y_RNA from 1 species
GGCUGGCCCGAUGGCAGUGGGUUAUCAGAACUUACUCACAUUUGUGUCACUAAAGUUGGUACACAACCCUCCCAACCCUCCACUGCUAACCUUAACUGGCAUAAA